UACGUAGGGUGCAAGCGUUAAUCGGAAUUACUGGGCGUAAAGCGUGCGCAGGCGGUCCGUUAAGACAGAUGUGAAAUCCCCGGGCUUAACCUGGGAACUGCAUUGGUGACUGGCAGGCUUUGAGUGUGGCAGAGGGAGGUAGAAUUCCACGUGUAGCAGUGAAAUGCGUAGAGAUGUGGAGGAAUACCGAUGGCGAAGGCCAGCCUCCUGGGCCAACACUGACGCUCAUGCACGAAAGCGUGGGGAGCAAACAGG
rnacentral:rRNA from 1 species